rnacentral:rRNA from 1 species
ACUCAAAGGAAUAGACGGGGACCCGCACAAGCGGUGGAGCAUGUGCUUUAAUUCGAUGCAACGCGAAGAACCUUACCUGGUCUUGACAUAGUUCUGCUUGGUUUAGAGAUAGACUUUUCAGCAAUGACAGGACAUACAGAUGCUGCAUGGUUGUCGUCAGCUCGUGUCGUGAGAUGUUGGGUUAAGUCCCGCAACGAGCGCAACCCUUGCCGAUAGUUGCCAACGGGUAAUGCCGGGGACUCUAUUGGGACUGCCUUCGCAAGGAGGAGGAAGGUGGGGAUGACGUCAAAUCAUCAUGGCUCUUACGACCAGGGCUAGACACGUGCUACAAUGGUGACUACAAAGGGCAGCUACUUAGUAAUAAGAUGCGAAUCUCAAAAAAGUCAUCUCAGUUCGGAUAGAGGUCUGCAACUCGACCUCUUGAAGUUGGAAUCGCUAGUAAUCGUGGGUCAGCAUACCACGGUGAAUACGUUCCCGGGUCUUGUACACACCGCCCGU